CAUCUUCCACUAGGAUUUCUGUACCAGCGGUGAUUUUACCCAUUCUUAUCGGCAGAUCCCCGGACCAAAAAAGAUCUGCUGCUAUCAACAUCUCUGGAGUUUGCACCUUAAGCCAGCCGCAAAGGCUUUGCAUCAUGGGGCGAUACCGCGCUAGGAUGGAUGUCCCAGGGACCUGAGUACGAGUCAGGCACAAUGCAUUCCUUCUCUAAGCUGACCGACAUGCGCAUCCGUCCUCUCGAGCCACCACCAGAUCUCCGUAGGCCUCCUCCAAAGAAUGUGUCGGCGAUACCCCAUGGUCCGUAGAAUCAAGGUCAAUGUCGGCGAUACCACACAGCCGCGGUCCAAGUACGAGUUGGAAACACGAAUACCGGUGUCAUACCGGCGCCCGUAUCAGCGACACCACGCUGCUGUGGCCCAAGUACGAGUAGGAAGCAGUGACCCAAUUCAGAACCAUGGCCUAGGUACGAGCUAGGAGCACACCCUUUGUCGUUACCCGCUGGUCAUCUGCGUAGUGCUACGGCCCGCCACUUCAUUGGUACAACGAAGCAGUUUCCCGUUACCACUAAAGGUCUCCCUCUAGCAGCCGACCAUGUCUUGCAGAA
rnacentral:lncRNA from 1 species